rnacentral:rRNA from 1 species
AUGACAGAUAAUAUAAAGAAGCUUUGGAGGGAGUCCAGUGUAGACAGGGCCAAACCGUUCUCACCGGUGCAUAUUGAUGGUUUCUCUUGCGAGUUUGUGCGGGUGCCUCAGCAGGAAAACACGCAUGAUUGUGGAUUCUUUAUGCUACAAAACUGCAAGACCUAUUAUUGCCGGGAGGAUGGUGUAAUUGAAAUGUGGCUGGAUCUUGGUGAGCAUGACUACAGGUUCUUUGGUAGCCAGUUCUCGGAGCUCGAGCGCAUAGCUAUUGAUCUUAGACAGGGGCGUUCUCCCGAAAAGACAAGAUCUGGUGUUAUGAAGUGGCGGUUGGGAGCUCUGAGAAGUUCUACGGCUGCUUGUGCAGAGAGCCCUACUACACCCAAGAAUCCCAUUGUGGAAUUGAUAGACAGCGAUGAUGAUGUGUUUGACAAGAUUGCUGGCGUUGGAAGAGUCACGAGGAGCGCUGCUGCCAAAGGUUUAUCUCCCCUUGCUGGAAUAGUGGCUCGUAGAGCUGGUGGUGCUAGGAAAGAUCCUGCUUUGGAUUCUGGCAAUGUUGUAAGCACGAAGCGUGCGCCCAGAGCUCCUAUAAAGUUUUGCUCCCCUGUGCAGCAGCUUCACCCUCAUAAAUUCACUCAGCUGGACAAGGCUCGCAGGUUGUAUAAUUUGUUUCUUAGUGAUGAAUGGCGUGAGAAGUAUGCCGAGAAUACAUUCUCAAUGAUACCUCAGCCUGAUGAAAGCGUAACUAACUUCACUGGGAAUCGCAUCUGGGAAGUUUUUUCACCUGGGCAAAUGAUGGAGGGUGAUGUUGUGCUUGAUUGUUUGUUUUACGAGGAUGAAAAUAAAGUGUUUAAUGUGGAGAGUGCAGCGAGAGAUUUCAAGAGCUAUGUUAAAGCUAAUGAAGACUUGCUCAGUGCCGACCUUAUCAUGAUGCCUCUAUUCAAGCCUAUGGUUUUAUCAAAGGAUAGAUAA